GACCCGGACUUAUGCGAUUACAACGCUCAAACCUUGUCAGGACCGGAAGGUAGCAGCAAUACGAGAUGCUUGUAAUAGGCGUAAACUCCGGGUCGCC
rfam:Roseofilum reptotaenium AO1-A Rreptotaenium_AO1_contig_35_len_127903_cov_418.01, whole genome shotgun sequence.